UCCCAUGGCUGUCUUUUAGGAUGCAAU
rnacentral:piRNA from 1 species